GCCAGAGAAUGUCUAAUAUGAGGAGAACUGGCACUCGCGGGUUAGUUCCGGUUUUCUGGACUGGUUGCAGUAAUAAUCUUUGACCACGCGGGGCGCUCGUAGGCGAGUCCAGAAUGAAUGGGAGCCAACGGGAUUUUAUCCUCAGAAUCCACUUUUCUCACAAUGUAAUUUUUUGUCAAGUAAUUUUAAAGUUGCUAUCAAAGGGUGGGGCUAAGAUAAUAAACUGAAUAUUGCAUUUUUUAAGGUCACGUAUCUGUUCUAAAAAGGCGUUAAAAACAUGCGAUGACGUCACACACUGUAAUACUGUCAGAGGUACUGCUUUACGGCAGUUUCUAAAGCACUUCCCUUGUCCCGCAACGAUAACACCAGCUGUUGGAGUCGGACCUUGAUGCUGUGACAACGGACAAGUCUUCUUCCUCUGUCCUUUUCCCCUGCCUCUGUUCAGUAUGUUCAGUGUUGUUAAAUCAUCUUUUUUUUUAUUAGUUACUGUUCUUAUUGUGUUCUUGUUAGUGUGAUUUUUGAAUAAACUUGCCUGUUGCAAUGUUGGUAUAAUGUUUGUAUAAUUACUGUUAUACAACUGUUACUGUUUCAAUGUGACCCAGACCAUAUUUCUCAUUUAACAAACAUGUGUAGCUUAUAAUGUGUUGCAUGGCAGAGCAAUUACGGUAUAUUCAAUGGCUUAAAACAAACCCAUCUGUAAGGAUCAGUGAAUGCAUGGAAAUCAAUGACAAGUGGUGUAGAUGGUUUUCCCUCUGUGCAAGGUCAUUAGCCCAAGUCCUACAAAAAAAUAACGACUGUAAUAGCAGAUGUUGAAGUUGUUAAAUCAUUAACUAACCAUUUGUAUGGAACAAUCGGUUAAGGUAAGUUAAGUGCUUGAGUCUCGACACUUUAGAGAAUGUCUAGCGCGCAACUUGAAUAAGCCAUGUGUGAUAUUACCCGGGCUCCAGCGCAACUUUCCUUACCAGGUGAAGCCUCAGGUAGCCUAGGACCAUUCAUACAGGAGCAAGCAAGAACGUUACCUUUUUCUGUCCUUGGUAAACGAAAAGACGGACAAUCCGUUUCCACUGUAAGUGCAGUUUAUCAUUGCACAUUUACGAGGCAUUUCUUUUUUAAACUAUCUUUAUUUUCGAAAAAUAGACAAUGACAGAUUAAAUGAUAUUGAGCGGGA